GGUCAAAAUGAUAAAGUUCAAAACGCUAUCUGUGUAAUUUACGAAAAGUCAAUAUAAUUUAUUCUUUUAAAAAACUUAAACCACGCCAUUGUAAGUUACGCUACAAUCAGCUGUUAAUUUUUGUGCACCUCUGUAAAAUAUUUCAAUGUGAAAUGACAACUUUGCCACAAAAAUUUAACCCUAAGCCUUAAGUUUUCUGGAAUAUUCUCUCACCCCAUCCCAUCCCAUCCCCACAGCGGCUCCGCCACCCGUAUCUGUCCUCCCCCGACGGCACCGCCGCCUUUCUCGCCGCCAUCUAAACCCAAACCUUAUACACCAUAUAAACCAAAGGAUUCAAGCCUUGCUUUUUCAACAUUUUCUAUUGAAGUUGUUUAAGAAACUAGCUGAGUCUUGAUUUGUGGAUAUGAUCAAAAUCACAACUGAUCAAAGGUGUUUUUGUGCUUCCGUGUGUGUAACGAUAUGUAUGUGUUGCGGGAUCGGCGACGACGGUUGGCGAGAGAGUUGCUGGACCUGCGAUUUUGAGCGUUGAUGGUUCGUCUGCAAAAGAUGAUAUUUUGUAUAUAUAUGCACACCCGUAUGUGUGUUUAUAAAUAUUUUCAUGGACAAAAAACUCACUCACCCAUUUGCUCUUGGGGACACUCAAUCCCUCACCUCUUGGGAGGUACUUUGCUGCUUUCCAACUUUUGGUUGUUCUUAUUAUUAAUAAUUUUUAAAUCAAAAUUUCAUGAAUUUGUGAAAUUUUAUGAAUUAAUUUGUAUAUUAUAAUUUCGAAGUUGGGUUGAUUUUUUUUUUUAUUUUUUAUUUACAUUGGUUUGGAAGAUUUUUUAAGAAUUAGCUAAUUUUUAGGAGAUCAUUUGUUGUAGUUUAAUUAAUUUUAUUACAUAAUAUUGCAACAGCUCUAUAUGUGAAGCUUAUUUAACAUAUGGGUAACUUCUUAGAAUUGAAAAACUAAAAAUAUGGCAAUAACAAUGUAUGUCUUUUCAGUUGGGGAGGGAAUGAAGAAUUAGGUUUCUUUUGGCGGGUGAAUAGGGGUACCAUGUAUGUUGCGAAUUGCCCAUAUUCAACUUGUCGGGUUAUUUAUGGGCAAGUGUGGUACAAUGGAAAUGGAAGGAAAAGGAAAGAAUAGUAAUGGAGGGAGAAGAGGAAUUGUUUUUCUUAUGAAAUGUUGUAAGGAAAAGUAAGGAUUUGGAGGGAUACAAGGCAUGAAUGGUAACUUUUGUGAUCCUCCGAAAAUGAGAUGAAAUGGAAGGAAAAUGAAGGAAGUGUUAGUAUUUUUAAUGAAACUUUGUUAAUAAUAAUUUUGUCCUUAUUUUUAUAAAAAACAAAUUCUAUGAGAAAGAAUAUGUUGUGUAAAAAACAAAUUCUAUAAAAAAGAAUAUGCUGUAAAUUCAUUAAAAUAGUUUCAUUUCCUUUCUUUCUCCAAACAUGAUUACAAUUAUUUCCUUUAUUUUCCUCCAUUAAUCAACCAAGCACGAUAAAUAGUUAACACUCUUUACUCCUUUUCUUUAUUUUCUUUUCUCUCUUUACUGAUGCUAUUCUUUCUUUUCUUUUCCACUGUACCAAAUAUACCCUAAAGUCAGCCCUUUUUUUUUUUAGACCCACAACACAAAAACAAUUGACUAAAAUACACUAACACCUGGACGGGUUGAUGAGUUUGAACAAUAUUUUCUAGGCCUAAUUUAAAGUUAUUGCAUUAUGAUUUAAAAAUCGUUGUUUUAUCGAUUUUAAGCACACAGAAUGACACAAAUGACAAAACAAAACAAAAUUGUUCAGUUUCUUUCUGGCCUAAAUUCUAAGUACCUCAUGUUUAGCUAAGUUUAUAUACAAUCUUUAGUUGUUAGUCCAAUAGUAGAGUUCGUGGUUGCAUGUUAAAUGGAGGUUUCUGGAAUCAAGCAUUGACUUUACAGUUUGGAAGGUGUGGGAUUCUCAAUUUGUCUGGAAUUCUGGAUAUAUGGCCUCCGCAUGCGGCUUCAAAUGGUGGUCCAAAACCACUAUUAACUUAAUGUCAACAGGCACCCUUGCUGUCAUAAUACUCCUUGUUCAUGCACAAGAAGCAUAUGAAUUUUGACCCUCAACCAUACCACCAAUGGUUAGUAAAUAUCUCUCUGUUUUGCCUAUACAAAAAAAUCUAGUAGCAGUCACAAAAGACAUUAAAGCUCCCAAAUCUCUAUCUCAAUUUGCAAUUAAGUCAUACGUUAGAAAGUUGCCCAACACUAGAGUUUUAUUGCUAAAUAUAUAUAUAUAUAUAUAUAUAACCAUUCAUUUAUACAAUUUUAUUCCAAUAAACUUAUUCCAUAUAUGUGUGGUAAAACUCUUCUUUUUGUUUCUACCGUGACAUUGCUUGGUCGAGUCCAAGAACAACCACCUCAUGCAAAAUAAUACCAAAACUUUGUUAUUUACCGUUUUUUUAAUUUACCAAAAUAUACCAAUACUUUGUUCCUAUCUCCAUUCCCCCCUCCAAGUAUCCCAUCCCACACGAUGGCAAGACCAGCUUGGGCUAAUGGCCUGUGGCCAAAUAAUGGGACCCCUCACUUCUCCAUUGAGGGAGGAGAGGUUAUACCAGCUUGGGCUAAUGGCCUGAGGUCAAAUAAUGCAUUCAUUGUGUAACAAAUAUUUUCAUGAAUUUUGGUUAGUAUCCAUGGGAAGUAGAAAAACUCUGGGUGCACAAAUUCCUGUUUCUAUGUCCUAUUUUUAUUUUCUGAUCUUCCUAGCUGGGAUUAUGUAUAAAAGGAUGGAAGAGGGGUCAGUGGUAUCAGAAACAAAAGAUACAAGUGCCUUGAAAGUCAGAUUUUGGGUGGAAUCAAAGAAAUUGUGGAAAGUUGCAUUUCCUUCUAUGCUAGCAAAGUUAAGUUCAUAUGGGAUUUUGGUGGUGACACAAGCAUUUAUGGGACAUAUUGGUGAAAAGGAACUUGCUGCAUAUGCGCUUAUACAAAUAAUUGGAAUCCAGUUUGCAAACGGAAUAGUGUUUGGCAUGUCAAGUGCAACAGAGACUUUGUGUGGGCAAGCAUUUGGGGCAGGGCAAUAUCACAUGCUGGGUAUCUACCUGCAAAGAUCCUGGAUUAUUAAUCUCACUGCAGCCACACUUUUGGCUCCCUUCUUUGUCUUUGCGGGACCUAUUUUCCGGCUUCUUGGCCAGGACGAAGAUAUAGCAAAAGAGAUAGGGAACAUUUCUUUAUGGUUCAUUCCCAUUGUCUACUACUAUGUGUUUAGCUUAACCAUCCAAAAGUACUUGCAAGGACAGCUCAAGAACAUGAUUGUUGGGUGGCUAGGCACUGCUUCAUUCCUAAUUCAUGCCUUCCUGUCCUGGCUGUUUGUGAUGAAAUGGAACUGGGGUGUCCCUGGUGCAAUGAGUGCCACGGUCAUAUCAUGUUGGUUGAUGGUUGUUGGAGAGUUUGUAUACGUCUUCGGAGGUUGGUGUUCAGAGACUUGGAGAGGAUUCACUAAAGCUGCCUUUGUAGACCUACUACCUGUAAUAAAGCUAUCAAUAUCCUCUGGAGUGAUGCUUUGCCUAAAUAUUAUUGCAUGGGAAUAUACGAUAUCCAUAGGCUUCCUAGUUGCUGCAAGUGUACGGGUUGCAAAUGAAUUGGGAAGAGGAAACAGUGAAGCUGCAAGAUUUUCUGUCAUUGUCAUCUCAAUUACUUCACUUUGUAUUGGAUCGUUGUUUGCUGUUUUAGGUCUAAUUUUUGGUCACCGUAUGUCUUACUUGUUUACAAGUAAUGAAGAAGUUGCAGAAUCUGUGUCAAGGCUCUCUGUUCUACUUGCUUUCUCAAUAUUGCUUAAUAGUCUUCAGCCAGUAUUUUGUGGCAAGUAUUUUGUUUCUUAUAGACAUGAUUUAAGUAAUUUUAGAAGCCACGUGCACGCUCGCACACUCACAGGACACUCGUGUUCAAGCACAUCUUUUAAUCAUGGACAAUUUUCAACCCUUGAAUUCUUUAAGCAGGGGUGGCUGUAGGUGCUGGUUGGCAAAGUGUGAUUGCAUUCGUUAAUAUUGGUUGCUACUAUAUCAUUGGAAUUCCACUAGGACUUUUGCUUGGUUAUUUCGCUCAUCUGCAAGUUAAGGGUAUUUGGACCGGAAUGAUAUGCGGAGUGACAAUGCAAACACUAGUGCUAUCCUACAUUAUCUGGAGAACUAACUGGGAUCAUCAGGUGAAUAAUGUUGCAGAUCAUCUGAAUAGGUGGGCAUUGAAUCCCACAGAGGAAAUUACUGAAAGCCAAACUCAUGCUUGAUGGGUUUUCUUUUCUUUUUCUUUUUCUUUUUUGUUUGGUUUUUUUUGUAACCACCAUUCUUUAGCGUGAUGUCGAGAAAGCUUUUGACCUUGUCACUGCAUUUUUAGGAAUGAUCAUAUCUAUACAUGCUUGAAGCCU